rnacentral:rRNA from 1 species
AAACUAACAAGGAUUCCCCUAGUAACGGCGAGCGAAGCGGGAAGAGCUCAAAUUUGAAAGCUGGCGCCUCCGGCGUCCGCAUUGUAAUCUCGAGACGUGUUUUCCGUGCGGCUCCAUGGACAAGUCCCUUGGAACAGGGCAUCGUAGAGGGUGAAAAUCCCGUACUUGCCAUGGAAGUACCGUGCUUUGUGAUACGCGCUCCAAGAGUCGAGUUGUUUGGGAUUGCAGCUCAAAAUGGGUGGUAGACUCCAUCUAAAGCUAAAUAUCGGGGAGAGACCGAUAGCGAACAAGUACCGUGAGGGAAAGAUGAAAAGCACUUUGGAAAGAGAGUUAAACAGUACGUGAAAUUGUCGAAAGGGAAGCACUUGAAGUCAGCCAUGCUGCUUGAGACUCAGCCUGGCUUUUGCUUGGUGUAUUUCUCGGUAGCAAGCCAGCAUUGGUUUGGGCCGUCGGAGAAGCGUGCAGGGAAUGUGGCAUCCUCGGAUGUGUUAUAGCCCUGUGCUGGAUACGACGGCCUAGACCAAGGCCCGCAGUGUGCCCUCUGGGCGGGUCCUCGGACACCUUCACACUUAGGAUGCUGGCGUAAUGGCUUUAAGUGGC